UCUCAUCUACAGCCUUCAUGAACCAAGAAAUUCACAUCAAUAACGCAUCUCGAGUUCAUCAGUGACAUACAAGUCAUCAACUACAUACCGUGGUACCCCGAGACUUUUCAGUGGUUGCAACAGACUUAGCCGCAGCCAUCUUACGGACUACUCUGCGCCUCUUGACAGGGGGAGAAGGUUCGUCUUCUGACUUCCCGACAGCGGCCUCUGACUCUUCUUCCGACUAUGCCACAUAGCCGUCAAGUACUCGGGACUUCUAAACAACAAGACAGUGUCAGCAAC
rnacentral:lncRNA from 1 species